rnacentral:rRNA from 1 species
UACGGGGGGGGGCGAGCGUUGUUCGGAAUCACUGGGCGUAAAGGGCGCGUAGGCGGCCCGCACAAGUCUGCGGUGAAAACCUCCGGCUUAACCGGGGGCCGGCCGUGGAAACUGUCGGGCUGGAGGCUGGGAGAGGGCAGCGGAAUUCCCGGUGUAGCGGUGAAAUGCGUAGAGAUCGGGAGGAACACCGGCGGCGAAGGCGGCUGCCUGGACCAGUCCUGACGCUGAGG